UUUCAGAUAGCUGAAGAUUAUUCUCAUUGUGAAUUCUUACUUCGGCUUCCUGGAUAUUGUCCAAUGCCUGCUUUUCGAGAUGUUAUUGAUGUACCUUUAGUUGUCAGAAGAUUACAUAAAUCUAGAUCAGAGGUUAGAAAGGAACUUGGCAUUGGCGAGGACGUGAAAUUGCUUAUUUUUAAUUUUGGUGGCCAG